GCUUUGAUUUCUUUAGUUGAAGAGAACUGGAAAGUUCCGUCGUAGAAGGUAAUAACCCUGUAGGCGAAAAGGAAAGAAAAGUAGAUCUACUCCAGAGUACCACGAGACACGUGAAACCUUGUGGGAAGCUGGGAGGACCAUCUCCCAAGGCUAAAUACUACCUAGUGACCGAUAGUGAAGCAGUACCGUGAGGGAAAGGUGAAAAGAACCCCGG
rnacentral:rRNA from 1 species